UCCGGUUUGUCACCGGCAGUCUCCUUAGAGUGCCCACCUUAACGUGCUGGUAACUAAGGACAAGGGUUGCGCUCGUUACGGGACUUAACCCAACAUCUCACGACACGAGCUGACGACAGCCAUGCAGCACCUGUGUGAUGGUUCUCUUUCGAGCACUCCCAAAUCUCUCCGGGAUUCCAUCCAUGUCAAGGGUAGGUAAGGUUUUUCGCGUUGCAUCGAAUUAAUCCACAUCAUCCACCGCUUGUGCGGGUCCCCGUCAAUUCCAUUGAGUUUUAAUCUUGCGACCGUACUCCCCAGGCGGAUGACUUCGCGCGUUAGCUGCGUUACUAAGGGAUUUAACUCCCCCAACAACUAGUCAUCAUCGUUUAGGGCGUGGACUAC
rnacentral:misc_RNA from 1 species